rnacentral:rRNA from 1 species
UACGUAGGGCGCAAGCGUUGUCCGGAAUUAUUGGGCGUAAAGAGCUCGUAGGCGGCCUGUUGCGUCCGCUGUGAAAUCCCGGGGCUUAACCCCGGGCUUGCAGUGGAUACGGGCAGGCUGGAGGCAGGCAGGGGAGAACGGAAUUCCCGGUGUAGCGGUGAAAUGCGCAGAUAUCAGGAGGAACACCGGUGGCGAAGGCGGGUCUCUGGGCCUGUACUGACGCUGAGGAGCGAAAGCGUGGGGAGCGAACAGG